rnacentral:lncRNA from 1 species
GUUGAGGCAUGAUCUGUAUUGGGGAGCAUUCUCCUGGGGAAAGAAGCGAAGGCCGCUGGAAGCAGAGAGAGCCAAUUCAAGGUAGCGUCCCCCAGGAGGCUGCUGCUUCAGGCCAACACCACUAUCCAUCUCCAGAACUUUUCAUCACCCCAAAUUGAAACUCGGCACCCAUUCAACAACUCCCCGUGACCUUACCAAGAUUUUUUUUUUAAGAACAAGGCUUUAUUGUAUUUAUUUAUUUAGAGGAAGAUUAGCCCUGAGCUAACAUUGCCACGAAUCCUUCUCUUUUUGCCGAGGAAGACUGGACCUGAGCUAACAUCCGUGCCCACCUUCCACCCAGAUCCGAAGCAGCGAACCCUGGCCGCCAAAGAGGAACGUGCAAACUUAGCCGCUGCGCCACCGGGCCGGCUCCCCGCCUCAAGGUAUUGAAAAAGACUAACUGGAAGGAGCAUCUGCUUGCUGAGUGUAGGCUGAGGCCCCAGCAAGAUUCUGCCCUCCAGGCUGAGCAAGGGCUCCAGAUGUGACUAAGCAAGCUCUCGGGUUAGCGCUCCGGCCCUCGCCUAUUGCCCAGCGGGAGGAGCCGGUAUUUCCGGAUUGGAGUCUCAGACCCUGGGAUCCCGGCUAAGGGCGAAGGGGAAGGGAAGCCGAUCAUAAAAGCUAACUUUUCACCAAAAUCGUUAACCUGCUUCCCAUCCCCUAGACAAAAACAAAGACCCCCAAACACACGCAACAGCCCACAACCAUCCUUCCCGUGGUCUGUUGACGGUAACAGGAGCUGACCCCUUCCUUGCCAACAUCCCUGGAGAGGUUCAAGAAGCAGACCUGGGCACGAAUAAAGAAAGCAGCACAGCGAAUUCCGCGCGCCCUCGGCGGGAAGAAAGCUCGGCGGCAGUUUCACAGAGAAGGGAAGAGGCGGGGCAGCGGGCGCGCCGGCUCGGGGACAAGGCGGCCGCGGCCCCUGCCCCAUCGCUGGGUGGCGUGUGAGGCUCCCCUCCGUCCUUCCCGACACCCCAAAGUAGAGCUUCGAGAAGCUGCGUCGGCCUCCCCGAGCUCGCACGCCGGGCACCCUCGGGGUCUCCGGGAAGCAGGUGACAGCCGUGGCCCACCCGUGUCCCCUCCGGGCCUCCGCUCUCUGGCUCGCCGCCGUCCAACACUCCCUGCCCCCAGCCUGGAUAUUUUUUUUUUUCUUUCUCCCAAACCUCCUAACAGGAAAUAGUUUGGGUCACACUAAUACACGGGAGCAGCGGCCGAGGCCACUCGCGCGCGCCCACUCCCGGGGCAGCCUCCUGCACUCCGGCGCGGGCGAGGCGCCGCCGGCGACAAGCGCGGGGAGCGCAGGGGCCACCCGCCCAGCAGCCGGUGCCGCCUCGGAUGCGCCCGAGCGCCGCCCGCGCCCUGUGCCGGACUCCGCCGACUGCCCCCAGAUGAGAAAACUGAAGCUCAGAGAGAUUGAAGGGUUUACAUGGACCUGGCUGCUUCAGGCCCUCCAGACCAGCAUUGAUUGCCCAGAGUUACAAGAAAAGGAAGCACAAAUUCUCCAGGUGGCUCACUGAGAGUGAUGAUGGUGCUUGAUCUCUACAGAAGGAUCAAUAGUUCACUUCUAUGGUGAUCUUUCUUGGAAACAUCUUAAUUCUUCCUUCUUCCCUCUGUCUCUUUGGACUUUGCUUUUAGAGGAUAAGUUAGCUGAGCCUUUUCAGCCGUCACUUCUGCUUUGAAGCCAAGCAGCCUACCAGGUCCUUUGAAAGAGAAGAAGAGACUUCUGUGAUCCACUCACCCUGGAGCUGCAGUAGGGGACAGAUGUAAGCCAGGUAUUAGCAACCCAGAUGAUCUUGGGAAGCCACUUCAUUGAAGACAACAGAGCCUCUGUCAGCCCGGCUCCUGAAUAACUACCACAAUCUCCACCCUUUUCCUCUCCUCAAACAUGAAGAUCAGUAUUAAACUAUUACUUGAGUAAAAAAUAAGGUUUUGUUUUGUAUUAAACCAUUGCUAUUUGGGAGUUUAUUUGUUGUAGCAGCUGGCAUUGCCUGAACUAACCCAACUGAAUUAAAUUAUCCAGGCUCUUUAAUGUUCUUGCUUCUCUUUCUUUCUUAUUUUGCUUUUGAUGCUUUCUAUUGGAACUUGCUUAAUCAUUUGAACUUAAUUCAUGAACCUGAGAUUCUGCAGCUCAUAGCACACUUUUUCAUGGCAGAGUUAGUUCAUUUGUUACUCACUGAGCAAGUAUUUAAUAAACAUGUAUCCUGUGCUACAUGUUAAGUGCCAUAUGGGACCAUAAGUAAAAUUUUUUAAAUGUCCCUUUAGAAGUGACUAACGCAAUGAUGUUAACUACCAGGAUAUUAAGGCAACAUUGCUCAUUAUAGCAAAAGACAGGAAAAUGCAUAAACGUUCAAGAAUAGAAAAAUGGAUAAGUAAG